rnacentral:misc_RNA from 1 species
GGAAGGAUCAUUAUUGAACUGAAAAGUCUCUUACGUGUGUUGUUCUGGAACCACCCCCUUUUUCGACUGUCAAGUUUAUGGUUACGAAAUCAAUAACAAUCAUGAGUCCAAGCAAUGGAUGUCUAGGUUGCCACAACGAUGAAGAACGCAGCGAAAUGCGAUACGUAAUGUGAAUUGCAGGGUUAAGUGAAUCAUCAAAUGUUUGAACGCAAGUUGCGCCGCCUCGGCGGCAUGCUUCUUUGAGUGUCGGUUUCUUCGUUGGACGAUUCUUCGGGAAUUGCCCUCGUCUGACAGUCUCAUGGUGCCGGUUGCAAGAUUGGGCAUGCUGGGAUAGACCGCGCAGUGACACGUUCAGUGUCGCUCAACAACAAGACCUCAAAUGAAGUAGGACGACCCCCUGAAUUUAAGCAUAUAAUUAAGGGGAGGAAAAGAAACUAACGAGGAUUCCCUCAGUAACGGCGAGUGAAGCGGGAAGAGUUCAAACCGAGAAUCGCGCAAGCGAAUUGUGGUGUGUAAACGCGUGUCUCAGUGGCUGUGCCGAUGUAAGUCGAUUGGAAAAUCGCAUCAGAGAGGGUGAAAAUCCCGUUCGACAUUGGAUCUGCAGUUACGUUCGAGCCGUUGUUUUCGAGUCGGGUUGCUUGGGAGUGCAGCCCUAAGUGGGUGGUAAAUUCCAUCUAAAACUAAAUAUGUGUGGCAGACCGAUAGCGAACAAGUACCGUGAGGGAAAGAUGAAAAGAACUUUGAAAAGAGAGUUAAAAGUACCUGAAAUUGUUUGGAUUGAAGGGAUGACGACCAGUCGGUCAGGAUGGCUUGGCAGCGGGCUUGCUGCUGGCGGGGAUAGGUAGCUCCAUUCGUGGAGUGUUAUAGUCCUGUCAGCAGAGUUCGCCGUCGAGCGAGGUCAUGGAUAGAUCCUGACGAAAUGGUCGUCAUUCACCCGUCUUGAAACACGGACCAAGGAGUCUUACAUGUGUGCGAGUGUUAGUGUUCCAAAGCAUUAUCGCGUAAUGAAAGUGAAUUUCGUUUGCAAACGAGGGCGACUACGGUACGACCCUGAGCAUACAUGCAGGGACCCGAAAGAUGGUGAACUAUGCCUGGGCAGGAUGAAGCCAGGGGAAACUCUGGUGGAGGUCCGAAGCGAUUCUGACGUGCAAAUCGAUCGUGUGAGCUGGGUAUAGGGGCGAAAGACUAAUCGAACCGUCUGGUAGCUGGUUCCCUC